rnacentral:lncRNA from 1 species
CAGGUGAAGCUGGGAAUAACCUGUAUGCAGAUUCUUUUGACAAGGAAGAUGAACCCAUUUGUCUUUAGUGCCUUCACUCGAGGACGAGCAAAGGACCAAGUGUGGGGGAGUUGUUGGUACCCUUUAUCUUAUAAUUGUAAACAUCAUUUUAGUAAAUAAAAUAAAUAGAUGGUAGGGCUUUGAACUAACCUUUCCACAAGUUUUGUUGCAAAUAUCAAUUUCAUGUAUGACACGUGGAAAGGCGCAAAAGACACGAGAAAGCGCACUUCAAGAAAGCAUAUUUAGAAAAGACGC